GCCUAACUGCUGGAAAUUAUGAUUGGCAUAUCGCAUGGUCAAUACCAUUUUACCUUGUUGUCCUAGUGAAGUGAAGAAGUGUUUCUUCGCGUAAUUUUCGGCGUAAUUCAGAGUCGGAUAUUUGAUCGAUAGAAUCUUUUCUCAAACGGUUUAACCAGUUGUCGAACUCAGUUUAAAUCCUAUCUGACAUCAUGUCGAAACACAGCAGUUCUUCGAGCCGUAGCCGCAGUAGAAGCAAAUCAAAGUCAGCAUCGCGGAGCAGAAGCAAGUCCCGAAGCUACAGUCGAAGCAGAUCUCGUAGCCGCAGCAGGAGUCGUGGUCGCAGCUACUCCCCUGAAGAUGGAGUUCGUCUACACGUUGGAGACUUGAGCUCUCGAGCCAGCAAGCAUGAGCUGGAAGACAUUUUUGAAAAGUAUGGUAAACUAGUAGAGGUUUGGAUGUCCAAAGCCGUUCCAUGUUUCGCUUUUGUAGUCUUCAAAAACAAAAGUGAUGCUGAUAAAGCAGUGGAAGAAGCCGAUGGAUACAAACUCCAUGGAAAGUACAUCCGUGUAACGUAUGCCAAGCCUCGUGUGAAUUCAUUUUACAAGCGAAAUCGAACACCCAGAGACGAUCAGCGUUGUUACCUUUGCAAUAAGCCUGGUCACUUUUCCCGAGACUGUGGUAAUUCUACUUACGGAUACAAACGCCCCAAUUCAAGGAUGAGUGUAAUUGUUGAUUCGUGGUAAUUUUGGCUGGCGGGCAUUGUUUGCGUUUGCCCUUUGAUGACAUUGAUUGUCUGAUGGACGAUGGUAUUUGAUGAUGUGGUAAUGGUGUCAACGCUGGGACUCCGGUUUUUAAAUUGAUGAUUGAUGAUGUUAUUGAUGCUUGGUUGGUUGAUGAUAUCGCCUCGUUCACGAUCGUUGGAGCAGAUAAAUUGUUUAGUGUUUUAAUGACGCGUUUUUGUGGCACCCAAUCUUAGUCACCUUCGCGAAGGAGCAACUGGGGGGGUUCCUCCUCCUCAAGAAGCUGGGGCGGAAGCAGCCGUUCGUACAACCGUUAUUAGCCCCCACCAUGCUCAGAACUGACGAUUUGACUGCACCACCGUUAGUAUUACGCAAGCUCCUUCUCCGAUGGCUUUUGAUCCUUGAAACUUUAGUAGUAAUGGGCUAUCUUAAGCCUUAUAUUUUCAGUUUAAUGUAAGAGAAUUCCUCAUCAGCGGUUUUGAUGCCAAAACUUUAAGUAAAAAACUGAUUGAUUUGAAAUGGAUUUUCUAAAAAUUUACAUUCCCAUCAUAUUCUCAAUGAGUCCUUGUUUUCUUUACUGACCAUUGGUUCCAUUCAAGGAAUUCUUUGUAUCUAAGUGAACUGACUGUUUCAAAA